CUGCUGAGUGCUGAGGUUUGAACCCAAGGCUUUCUGCACACUAGCCAAAUGUUGUGCCACUGAGCUAGAUCUUCAUCAUGCUGUUAACCAUUUAAAAUGGUCCGGUGGUAUCCAACGCAUCCUCACUGUUACGAAAUUCAUCUCUGGACUCUGUUUUGCACAUUGAAACUCUGAAGUAAGCAACUGUUCAUUCACCUCUUUCUCAAGCUCCUGGCAGUCAUGCCUGCCCUUUCCAUAUCUGUGAAUUGAUUUCCCUGGGGACCACUUGUAAACAGUCAUAGCAGAUUUAACCUUCUGCAAAUGACUUAUUCACUCGGUACACUGUCAUCUUAAAACGUUUGUCCAAGGUUACAUUUCUGAAAUACUAUAAACACUGAGGAAGUCUCUAGCACAUGAUGACAUCAUUCAUUGAGCUGAACUUACCUGGGUUAUAAUUUUAUAGCCAAUAGCCAAUAGUCCUUUCAAGGACCUAGACUUCUGGGGGCCCCGGUUAACUUGAAAGUUGUCCAACAUUUUAAAAUUUUAUUUGGUAACCUACAGUUCUUAGAGAUAGGUUUUCUGUGUGUAACAGUCCUGGUUGUCAUGGAACUCACUUUGUAGACCAGGCUGGCCUUGAACUCACAGAGAUCUGAUUGCCUCUACCUCCCAAGUGCUGGAAUUAAAGGCAUGCACUACCACUUCCUAGCUCUUAGAGAUUUUUGAUUCUCAGCUAUAGCUUCCAUUCUCCCAAGGAGGAAGACAUGUUAGGGUUAGUCAGGAAAAGAGGGAAGUUAAGGCUAUAAAUGAGUUCUUGUUAUCUUAUUCAACAGAUAUUUGUAGGUCAUGUCUGUGAGGACUAUAUCUCCUUAAGGGGGCUGAGAUAACACUCCGUCCAUGCUACCCAGAUUGUGUUUCACUGAGGGAGAAGAUGUAAGUGCCUCAACAGUGGACUUGACACUACUUACAUUCCACGCCCAACAACUAAGACAGAUGCUUGGAGAAAGCUAUGCUUUUCACUUCCAUACAGCUGUGCUGAAAAUCCAGGAACAGCCAAGGAUGGAGCAAAGUCAAUUACAAAGAAGCCUUUUGACUGCCUCUGGGACUGGUGUAAGUCCCAUUUCUUUGAGUCAUCUGAGUAACUUGGUGUGAGUUGAUUCUACAAACUUCAGUGGUGAUGACCUCACUAUUUUAUGUAUCGAGUCUAAAACUUUAGUUUACACAGUAAGGCUACCUUCUCUGAUGAAACACCUCCUGUUUGAGACCAAUUUGCUGUUGCAUUUUAAUAAAUCCUCCCCAUUAGACA
rnacentral:lncRNA from 1 species